CAGCCGCCGCGGUAAUACGAAGGGGGCUAGCGUUGCUCGGAAUUACUGGGCGUAAAGGGCGCGUAGGCGGACAGUUCAGUCGGGGGUGAAAGCCCGGGGCUCAACCUCGGAAUUGCCUUCGAUACUGGCUGUCUUGAGUAUGAGAGAGGUGUGUGGAACUCCGAGUGUAGAGGUGAAAUUCGUAGAUAUUCGGAAGAACACCAGUGGCGAAGGCGACACACUGGCUCAUUACUGACGCUGAGGCGCGAAAGCGUGGGGAGCAAACAGGAUUAGAUACCCCUGUAGUCCCUGUCUCUUAUAC
rnacentral:rRNA from 1 species